AACGAACGCUGGCGGCAGGCUUAACACAUGCAAGUCGAACGGGCGUAGCAAUACGUCAGUGGCAGACGGGUGAGUAACACGUGGGAAUAUCCCUUUCAGCUCGGAAUAACUCAGGGAAACUGGAGCUAAUACCGAAUACGUCCUUCGGGAGAAAGAUUUAUCACUGAGAGAUUAGCCCGCGUCGGAUUAGCUAGUUGGGGAGGUAAUGGCUCACCAAGGCGACGAUCAGUAGCUGGUCUGAGAGGAUGGUCAGCCACACUGGGACUGAGACACGGCCCAGACUCCUACGGGAGGCAGCAGUGGGGAAUAUUGGACAAUGGGGGCAACCCUGAUCCAGCCAUGCCGCGUGAGUGAUGAAGGCCUUAGGGUUGUAAAGCUCUUUUGCUGGGGAAGAUAAUGACUGUACCUAGAGAAUAAGCCCCGGCUAACUUCGUGCCAGCAGCCGCCGUAA
rnacentral:rRNA from 1 species